rnacentral:RNase_P_RNA from 1 species
GCGGAGGGCCGGAUGGCUGCGGGCCUGGCAACAGGCGCGAGGAAAGUCCGGACUCCACAAGGCAACGGUGCCGGGUAAUACCCGGCCGGGGUAACCCGAGGGAAAGCGCCACAGAAAUGAGACCGCCCUCGUUUGAGGGUAAGGGUGAAACGGUGGGGUAAGAGCCCACCGCGCGGCUGGCAACAGCAGCGGCACGGCAAGCCCCACCGGGAGCAAUGCCAAAUAGGGACCGCAAGCGGGGUUUGGUCGGGCAACCGAUACCACCCGCAGGCAGCUUUGGCCCGGCGGUCCGGGUUGGCAGCUAGAGGUGCUUUGGCAACAGGGCAUCAAGAUGAAUGGUCAUCCAUGGGGGCAACCCCGGGACAGAAUCCGGCUUACAGGCCCUCCGCGCAC